CGAGCCGCGGCCUGCCCCGCCAAGGGCCCUCCCGGCCCCAGUGGCCUUCCCCUGUCCGCGCGGGGAUUAAUUUUUUUUGGACUUUACAGGUCAUUUUAUGUCUUGCCGUAUUCUGGUUAUUUACUUCGAUAUAGUAUUUUGUACAUUUAUGGCGGGGCUUAUACUUUUCAGGGGCCACUCUCGAAAACACUGAUCCCCAUCCCGCACCUCCAUUAAAAGGGAUCUGGUGAGCGGAUUUGAGCGUCGCAGAGCUGGGUCUUAGAGAGCGAAGGUCUUAGUUUGCCCUUACCGAGCAGUGAGUUUGAAGAGCUGCAAGUACACCGUGUAGCUUGAGACACCUUUUGCAGUAGAGUGGUCCGCUGCCAUACCUGCUGCAAAAUGCUGUGCAAGUACUUUGCACAUGACUAAAAGACAAAGGAAGUAAACUGCUAAAAAUUUAAAAUGAGGGAUUUUCAAAAUAAUUUCAUUCUCCAUAGUAUGACAUGCUUUGCAAAGGAAUUUAAGCCUAUUAAUAUAAGUACAGUAAAUAAGAUUAUUGUGCAUUUGAAUGUCACUCCUACCUACAUCAUAGACAUUUCCUGUAAUUAGAAGGCUAAAACUACACACUGAACAAAAAGGUAGUAGCAGUCAUGCUGGGUUAAAACUUGCCGAAUGCCGACAUUUUUAUUGGUCAAUGUUGUAGUAACACGUCUAGAAGGUGUUAUCUUUAUUGGUGCAGGUUUUAUUCAGAACACAAGUAGUUCUUUUGUCUCUCUUUCUGAUCUCUAAGGCAGCUUAGCCUUUCUGCCUUACGAUAUUACAUCUCUGGUAACUGGGACUUGUUCCAGCUCAGCUGAGUCUUCAGUAUUGCAGAAGCAGCAGAAUUAGGCCAGGCUUAUGAGACCUGCAUCUGCUAGCACAGCAAGUGGUACCCCUGAAGUUACUGUUUCAGACUCCCUCUGUGUGCAGCACUGAUCCAGACUAGAACUGCUUCUUCCAAAGUGGCUGUUCUUUAAUACCUACUAAGAAGGAAAUCACUAGCAAGCAAGAGUGCA